UAAUACGGAGGGUCCAAGCGUUAUCCGGAAUCAUUGGGUUUAAAGGGUUCGUAGGCGGACUAAUAAGUCAGGGGUGAAAUCCCACAGCUCAACUGUGGAACUGCCUUUGAUACUGUUAGUCUUGAAUUAUGUGGAAGUAGAUAGAAUGUGUAGUGUAGCGGUGAAAUGCUUAGAGAUUGCACAGAAUACCGAUUGCGAAGGCAGUCUACUACGUAUAUAUUGACGCUAAUGAACGAAAGCGUGGGGAGCGAACAGGAUUAGAUACCCUGGUAGUCCACGCCGUAAACGAUGGACACUCGUUGUUGGGAUUUAUUUCUCAGUGACUAAGCGAAAGUGAUAAGUGUCCCACCUGGGGAGUACGGUCGCAAGAUUG
rnacentral:rRNA from 1 species